UAUUGAAAUUAAUAUACAAUAUUUUAGGUGUAUCCCGAAUUCACACAGUUGCCGUUAAGAACAUGAAAAUUACAUAGGAUCUUAGCAUAUAUUGUUCUGCUAAUGAAGUCUUUUUAUUGUUGUUACUAUUACCAUUAUGCAUGUGAAAUUCAAAUGAUGAACAUAUAACAUAUUUUUAUGAGCUGCGGAAGAAAUGAAGUUUAGAGGAAUUAGACACUGGUGAUAUAAUUUAACUUAAUCAGCAGAAGCUUAUGACAAAUGUCAGGCGUACGUUUUAAUAAUGCGAUUGCAUGCUGAUAUAAUAGAUGCAUAUUUCUAGGUUUAAAAGCAAACCACAUGCACCCCCAAAUCAUUAAAUCUUACAUAUUGAAAGCCCUGUUUAUUAGUGCAAUGGUUUUGUCACUCGCUAAGCCAUUGUCUACCUUGCAUUCUGUCCUCUAAUGACUACUUUGUUCAGAUUGUCUCCAUCAUAGCUGCGAUAUGUUUUAAAAGCACUUAUUGGAGUGAUAUUUUUAAAAAGUAUAGAAGAGAUGCUUUAUGUCUAUUUGGGGGGUUGAUGAAAUUGUUGUAAAAACCUGAAUUUAAGGGCAGCAAUUCACACUUUAUUAGUCAGACAUGGGAUUCCAAUCUCUAGGUUUGCCUUGUAAUGCUAAUGUAGGGGUGAAGCCUUCUUUGGGGACAAUUAGCGGGCAGUAGAGAGCUGCUUAACCUUUUCCUCAGCCACUGGUGCUCCUCUGCAACUGUCUCCCAUGCAGUACUUUUUUACUUGUUUCCCACCCACCCACAGCUGGGCUGCAAGACUGGAAAUAAACCCAGUUUGGAAUAAAGUGGCCUGUCAGGCAUCUGUAGGGAAGAGUUGGUGGGUGUUGGAAGGAUUAAAUGUUGCCUCCUGCCCGUGGAUUAUCUUCUACAAUGCCCCCUGCAUUCACAUUACUUUGGCAAAUAUAGUUUUAGGAACACAUGCAUGCCAAGGUAAUGUGCAAUUCCCCCCUGCAACUGAGUCAAUCUGUAACUUGAUCUUUAAAACUAGCAUGCCAACCAACAGCUUAGGUAUAGGGUGGUAUAGCUACUUGUAACUCACUGCAAUGUCAUGAAAUGUGGUACUAUCCAAAGGCAUGAUAUGACAUAAUAUCUAUUUACUAAAAUAGGUAUAUUUAAGCCAUGAAAAAUGUGAAUAUGGCAUGCAUAUGAGCACAUAUGCAUUUAUACCCUCUCAUGAGAAAGACAUGGGUGUAGGAAGAGCAAUUUGGUAAAUUGGUGAUUUGUAGCAACUAUACUUUCCAUUUAGAGUUUGGGCAACGUGCAGUAACAUGAUAUGGAGUGGCCUCAGUUAUUACACUUACUCUUCCACCCUUAACUAUGCAAUACUUUGUUUUUCUUUUCAUAAUUCUCUAUGCUCCUAUUUGGCAAUGUGCAGUCUGUGAAGGAAAACAUCCACAAGAUGCCCUGAUGUUCAGUGUUAUUAUCAGUGCUGCUAUCACCUAGAGAUUGGAGAUAGUGGAAACUACUAUCAUGUGGUGCGAAAAGCACAGUACUUGGUAAGUAAUCCUGCUAAGAGAUAGAGAAGCCCUAAGUAAUGAGGGACGCGGGUGGCGCUGUGGUCUAAACCACAGAGCCUAGGACUUGCCGAUCAGAAGGUCGCUGUUCGAAUCCCCAUGACGGGGUGAGUUCCCGUUGCUCGGUCCCUGCUCCUGCCAACCUAGCAGUUCAAAAGCACGUCAAAGUGCAAGUAAAUCAAUAGGUACCGCUCCGGCGGGAAGGUAAACAGCGUUUCUGUGCGCUGCUCUGAUUCGCCAGAAGCGGCUUAGUCAUGCUGCUCACAUGGCCCGGAAGCUGUACGCCGGCUCCCUCGGCCAAUAAAGUGAGAUGAGCGCUGCAACCCCAGAGUCGGCCACAACUGGACCUAAUGGUCAGGGGUCCCUUUACCUUUACCUUUAAGUAAUCUGAACGUAAGGAAGGAGUACCACAGCAUAUAAUUGUAAGGGUCUGUUUGCCACCAGACCAUUGAGAGCUUUCGAGCUGCUGGCCAAGUAAUGUGAACUGUACGCUACAAGUGUUGCAAAACACCUGUCCUCAAAGACAAGCCCUUUUCAAAUAUUAAUGGGAAGAGUGUGCAGAUAUGACACGAAAGCAUGUUCUGUAGUUAUAUUACGUAUGGUAACUCUGAAAUUUAUUGCUUUUACAUAUUGAGUGACUAUUUUUAACGAGUUUCUAAAAGACAGUUAGUUUGUCUGAAUAAAUAGGGUAUGCGUGCCAAAGGCAUGAUCCCUUUGCAAAAAAAUGGGUGACUGAUUUGUGUUGGUAAUGCUACUAUGGAUACAGUAGUGCAAUGAAAAAGCAAGGCUGCCUUGAGGAGGAGCAGCAGCAAAUGGUGCCCCCACUCAGGUCAAGUUGCACAGUACCUAAGACUAUUAAAGGUAUUUUGGUACCUGAGGCAGAAACUCACACAAGUGCCUCUUCCGCUCCCUGGCAGUAAAAAUUCCAAAUAAGAUUAACUUAAAUAGCGAACAAUAUUCUGCCCUUUUAUGACACCUAAAACCAGCUGCCUGAGACAGCUGCCUUAUUCUACCUAAUGGUAGAGAGCUUUGGUGGGGAGGGGGGAACACCCAGCAAUUGACCAAACACUACUCAAAUAUACUAGUAAUUUAAUUUUUUUUUCCAAUUUAACCUGGAAUAUUAGAGUGAUCCAGUGCUUUUGAAUUGGUCAGUUAACUUGACCACCUUUGCCAAACCAUCCUUCCUUCCUUCCUUCCUUCCUUCCUUCCUUCCUUCCUUUCCCUCAUUCAUAAAUUUCUCGAGGUGAUCAUAUACAAUGGUAGGAAUUUUCAUUUCCUCAUCUGAAAUUUAUGAUAGUGCCUCUGAUCAACUCCUUAAUAGAACAUGAGCUACCAAGCUUAUAAGUGUGAUAUGUAAAAUGUUUCUCCCCCAGACUUUAUGUUUAUUGGUUUCUUUGUUAUUUUUAUAGAAGCAAGCACAGUCAACCUAUAAAAGCAAUUUCAUGAUUAUACUUUAACAGAUUUUGUGUUUAAUUCACAUUCCAUUUAAAGUUGCUGCAUUUUUCAGAUUUAAAGAAAAAUAAUCAGAUAAAGUCUGUUGCACAGUUAAAAAUAAAGUAUAUUUUUCUAUCCCACUUAAAUUGUUAAGUGCAUUAAUUAAUAAGUCUGCAUUUAUUCACCCAGGAAAAGCUGGGGCUUGUUAGUAAUAGUUAACGCACAAGAUCAAGCCUCUCCAAGCUGUGCAGAUGUGCAGUUAAGUAUUUAUUAAAGGCAUGAAAAUAAUGUCGCCCCAAAGGAAAAUGCUGUUACUUUUUUUUUCCCUUUUAGAAACGGCUGUUCAUUUUAUUUGGUAACUUUGGUGAAUACACAGCUUUGCACUAACAGAGUACAAGAGUGUCUCUCUCAUCUUUCUUGUAUACAAUAGUUGCAUAUUAAAGCACAGUAAAUAGCACGUAAAUAUCUUACAAUUUUCAUGAUAUUAAGGUGUUUUUUUUUAAAAAAAACUUUAAUUAUUAAAAUAAAUUGGGUGGGGGGUGGAAUUAAGAAGGGAGAAAGUUUGUUUUAACUUUUUUGGGCUGCUCUAACCAAAAAGAGGUCCAGGGUCCAGGGAUCAGUGCAAUACUGGUACAGAAAUCUUUGUUGCUAGUAUCUGCCUCCACUGAUGGCUGCUCUCUCAUUGACUCAAUUAAAGUUUUGUCUCAAGAUUACAAAUGCCAGGAGGCAGCGAUUUCCAUCCCAUCCUCUGUUUGUUGCAAUCAGUGCUGUUUCUGUUUCACUACAGUUCGGCUUCUGCUAAAAUAUACAUGGUUCAUCUUGCUAUCUGCUAUGGCUGAAACUAAAGGCAUGAAAAUUACAGAAUCAAUUUUCAAUGGAAGAGAAACACCAAAGACAAUGCAGAAAAUAACAUCUACACAAUGUUUGUAGACUAAAGAAACAGUGAUAUUGGAUACUGUUUGUACUUACUUGUGUGAUUUCCGUACCUGACCUUGGGUGAACUUUCAAACUGCAGCAAUUUCUGUUCCUGUUUCCAUUUUUGAUGGAAUUCUCUGACAUUGCUACUCAAUAUAUACACACUUUUCCUGUGAAUGUUAGAGGAGGAGGAAAGCUCUUCUUCUGGUUGUAAUAUUGACACAUGCAUGCUGAUAGUGCUGUGCAUGCACACCUCAUUGUAGAGCUCUUUGACAAUUGUAGUUCUCGGUAUCAGCCAUAGCCCCUUGAAAAUUCAGCAUCCCUUCGUUUUCCAAAUAGAAACACCAAGAAAUAAGAGUGAAUUUUAGAGCUGGAUGGAGGUAACAACCAUGUUAAAAGUUUGCAAGAAACAACAGAGAGAAUGGACCCAGAUACAAAAGAUAUAUUGGGUGGUCAGAUUAAAUAAUUCACAACCACAGAUGAGAGUAAGGGAGUGCCCACAACUAUAAAACAGCUGGCUUUGGUUGCAGGAGAACCUCUGGAGGAAAUUAUGCUCAAUUUGUAAUUUAGCUGUAUUUGUUUCUGUGUGUGUGUGUACACACACACACACAUUAUACAUAUACACAGUGUUUCAAACAAAUAGCUUUUCAAUGCAACUGACCAUUAGCAGCUGGACAGAUUCAUAUUCUGCACCAGGUCAUUAAAUAUUUCAGUGACAUUGCCUAUCUAUCUCCAGUGCUAUAAAGGUAGUUUUUCAUGUGAUAGCCUAAUUGAUUAGCAUGCUUUACCCGAAGAGUAUAUCAAAUAAUUUGUUGGGCUAUUUUGGCAGAGUAGUUUGAAAGGCACAUUAUGGGUUAGCUUGUGUUUUAUUAAUUGUAACAAAAUUAUUUUAUUAAUUGUAACAAAAGCAUUGCUUACCUCAGUUGGAAGAAUGGCCAAGCAAGAUCCGAAGCCUUACAGAAGUAGCAAAAGUGACAGAUUAUAUUUUGCUGAGAGACAGUAAACAGGGCAUUUCUUGCACAUCAAGACAUUCAAGACUUUAUAAUUUUCAAAAAUUUUUAGUGUAGAAAUAUAUUCACAUAAUAAUACUCAAUAAAAAAUAUGUGUACCCAUAGGAUUGCCUAUAAGAUUAGACUUUUAGUACAGAAUACACAGAGUUUCUAUUUAUUUUUUAAAUUUAUAAACAGCCCUUCAUCCAAGGAUCACAGGGUGGUUUACAGUAUAACACUGCAAAGGUCUGGGUGAAGAGGAAUAUUUUCAUUCCAGUGAAAGAGAGAGUCAGCGUGGUGUAGUGGUUAAGAGCGGUAGACUCCUAAUCUGGUGAACCGGGUUUGCGUCCCCGCUCCUCCACAUGCAGCUGCUGGGUGACCUUGGGCUAGUCACACUUCUUUGAAGUCUCUCAGCCCCACUCACCUCACAGAGUGUUUGUUGUGGGGGAGGAAGGGAAAGGAGAAUGUUAGCCACUUUGAGACUCCUUCGGGUAGUGAUAAAGCGGGAUAUCAAAUCCAAACUCUUCUUCUUCUUCUUCUUUCACCAAUGCCG